GAUAUCAGGGUCAAGAAGUAAAAAAACGAUGCAAGCUUGCUUGCAAGAGUUUUUUAAUUUUUGACCCGCCAAAACAUGAGUAAGUAGCCAUUUUUCAAAGAAAAAUGAGCGGAUUACGAAUGUUUUGCGGAUUGCGGGAGUGCGAAGCACGUAGCAAUCUGA
rnacentral:sRNA from 1 species